CAAUACACACACGCGCACGCGCACACAGACACGCACACACACACACACACACACGCACACAGGUUUAUUAAUGAAUGCGUAGUUGAGAAAUAUAUUGUCUUGAAAGUGCGUUUUGCCGAUGCUACAUAGGAUUUUGGCAUCAAUCCGUUGCUCAGUUUGUACUGCGGCAGGAUGUACCAGAGAAUUAGUCAGAUAAUCUCUGUCUGUCGAGCAGUUCGAUGACAUCUAAGAGUAGCGAGUAGAAUCGGUGGUUAGACGUAGUUCAUUUGUAUCAUCAGCACUAAUAUUCACUAAUAUUAACAGCUAUUCACCGUUGGCUUGAAUUUAUGUGACAUUAAAAAAAGGAACGUGGAAUGCGAUGUUUCUGCCUCAGUAAUGGAUGGGAUAAUUCUAGCAAAAUCUAAAUGACUUAAGUGAAAAGGAUUUCAUAAUUGGUGGGC